GACAGCAAGUACAGAGACCACAGCUCUAAUCAAGAACCUGAUGCGUCCUCCUUGUCUUCCAGUCACUCACAGGAACCAGGACUAGAGGGGUCCGCCUCCUUGGGUCAUCACGAACUAGACCUGGAGGGAUCUGCACCGGACCAUCAGGAACCAGGACUAGAGGGGUCCGCUUCGUCUGCCAUCAAGAACUAGGCCUGGAGGGAUCCGCACAGGACCAUCCCGAUCCAGGACUAGUGGGGUCCGCUUCAUCUGGUCAUCAGGAACUGAGGGACUGGAAACAAAGCCUGGCUUGGCUGGGCAGAAGCUGGAGCUUGAGCAAGAUGUGGCUGAGCUGGGGCUUGAGCGAGACGAGGCUGAGCUGGAGCUUGGGCGAGACGUGGCUGAGCUGGAGAUUAGGAUUGUGGCUGAGACGGAGCCUGAGCGAGCCGUGGCUGAGCUGGAGCUAGGCUUGAGCAGGUUGUGGAGGAUGAGCAGGAACAUGAGCCAGACCUGAAGAUAGAGCUGAAGAUGGGCAAGAUGGCUGCACUGUAGCUGGGCAAGAUAGCUGUGCGGUGGCUUGACCUAGGCACGAUGGCUGCAUGGGGGCUUGAGCUGGGCACGAGGGCUUGAGCUGGGCACGGGGCCUUAAGCUGGGCUUGAUGGCUGCACAGGGGGUCAGACGUGGCUGGGCAACAGAUGCAGCAGCAGAUGCCAGCUCAGACAAAUGAGACCUGGACACCGGAAUCCAAACUGGAAUAUGACGAGAACCUGGAGCUAGACGCGGAAUGCAGGUACAGGGGACCGCAGUGGUCUCUGCGUCAAGGACUGAAUUGGAGAGCGUUGCAGGGCUGGGGUAAAGCUUUUAAGAACAGUUGUACAAAAUAAAACAGCAAAUGGCAAGAAAUGAUGACCAGAGAAACAGAGCUGUGACAGUGAUUCAGCUGAUUCAGAUUUGGCUUUGCCGUGAAUGACUUGUUUCCACAAAUGCGAGAUUAACCCAGCCCUAGUUUAGCCCUAGCAGAUAAGUUGAUGCUAAUAAGUACGUUAGCAUUAGUAUUUUGAAUUGAAUUUCGGUUUUAAACUGACAUAACUGGUAAAUGCUCCUAUAGUAAAUACUAUAAUCGUCUGCCACAGAUGACCAUCAUUUCGUAGUCUUAGCAAUCCAUGCACUAAAUAACAGGGGCGUAUUGUGGUAUAUACUUGUGUUAUAUUGUCUCAUGGGCCAAAUGAUAAUAAUGAGAUACAAACCCUGUUUUUCUGGUAAUUAAAAUUGAAAGCCUG